AGACUGGGACAGUGUUUCUGGCUGUUCCUCUUGCUGAAGAUAAAUGACAGAUUUGAUCUCAGGAAGUCCUCUGGAUCACCCUCUCGCAAAGACACCCAACAUCAGGGACAGAGUUUGACUUUGCAGUCCACCUCUUUGUCUUCCACUCAUGACUGGAGAAAAUAAGGCAGUGGGCCUUAUCUGCUGGUGAGAUCAUGCAUCGCUGCUUUAUCCUUCCAUGCAUCGAGCCCAACAUUAUCUGUCGCAUUGGACAUGCCACAGAAUCGCUCCAGUGCUGGAGAGUUCAGCGAAUCAUGCAAAAGCAGAAUCUGGGCGAGCGUGACUCACACAGCCCUGCUGGAGUGUCUGCUGUCAGCAGGUCUGUCUUAGUGGGUGACAGGAGAGAAAUAAUGACAGGUAAGACGACAUGCACUCAUGCAGACACCUGUAAACAAACACCCACACACAUACUGUAGCCAUGCAUGCACAAGUGUAAUGUGCAUAGGUCACAUACGGGGUUAAACUGCAAAUGUGCCAAAUGGUGUUUCCAUCUACAUGUUACACUCGUGCAUUUGGCAGAUGCUGGUAUCUAAAGUGACUUGCAUUGCAAGCAAGGUAUAGAUUUUAUAGAUUCAUGCAUUCCCUGGAAAUCAAAUCAUGUCCUUCAAGUGCAACUGUGCAAGAGUGAUCUGUUUUGUCAGGCUGUUAUUGAAAAUAAGAACUGGUUCUUAAUUAAUUUGCCUUGUUAAAUAAAGGUUAAAUAACAUGUAAUUGACAACAAGAUUUCCAUUUGCUUAUAUAAGACCACAGUUAUAUGUAGUUGCAACCUGUAAGAAAGGAUGCAUUAUAAUACGUGUAUAAUGUAUUAAAAUGUAACCUUAAAUGCUAUAUUUCAAAUAAAUGCUGUUCAAUUGAUUUUUCUUUUCAUCAAAAAAAUCCAGAAAAAAAAAAUACAGGGACAGGGGCCACUUGUGCUUUUAGGGGGCACAAUUUAAAAAUUCCUCUUAAACUUAAAUGCUCUCAUGCUUGUCAUGUGACACACAGCAGCCGCAAUACCACUGUAUAACUGAUAUAUGCUUUGCAGAUAUUUUUUAAUGGUUUCCACUACAAAUAACAUCAAAACAUUACAAACCAUCAACUUUUAACCAUUAAAAAAUGGGUUUCUGUGGUGUGUUUUGGGACAUAUUCCAUUAGGAUUUAGUUGUUUUAACAAACCACCAAAAGAAGGCAACCAAUUGCCAGUAGAGACCAGCAGGGUCCUUUACAGUUUCCACUGAAACCAAUGCAAGUCCCAUUAUAACCAGUUAAACCAUUACAAAUUUUGUAAAGGUGUCUUUAAAAAGUGUCUCUCUGACUCUGUGCCAGCCAGAUUUGAAUUUAGCAGCUGAUGAUUUCUUUUUUUCUUUUUCUUUCUUUCUUUCUUUCUGUCUUUCUUU
rnacentral:lncRNA from 12 species